UAGGGAAUCUUCCGCAAUGGACGCAAGUCUGACGGAGCAACGCCGCGCGAGUGAAGAAGGAUUUCGGUUCGUAAAACUCUGUUGUUAGAGAAGAACAGCGCAUAGAGUAACUGUUAUGCGUGUGACGGUAUCUAACCAGAAAGCCAAGGCUAACUACGUGCCAGCAGCCGCGGUAAUACGUAGGUGGCAAGCGUUGUCCGGAUUUAUUGGGCGUAAAGCGAGCGCAGGCGGUCAAUUAAGUCUGAUGUGAAAGCCCCCGGCGCAACCGGGGAGGGUCAAUGGAAACUGGUUUACUUGAGUGCAGAAGAGGGGAGUGGAAUUCCAUGUGUAGCGGUGAAAUGCGUAGAUAUAUGGAGGAACACCAGUGGCGAAGGCGACUCUCUGGUCUCUAACUGCCGCUGAGGCUCGAAAGCGUGGGUAGCAAACAGG
rnacentral:rRNA from 1 species